rnacentral:rRNA from 1 species
AUUGAACGCUGGCGGCAGGCCUAACACAUGCAAGUCGAACGGUAACAGGAAGAAGCUUGCUUCUUUGCUGACGAGUGGCGGACGGGUGAGUAAUGUCUGGGAAACUGCCUGAUGGAGGGGGAUAACUACUGGAAACGGUAGCUAAUACCGCAUAAUGUCGCAAGACCAAAGAGGGGGACCUUCGGGCCUCUUGCCAUCGGAUGUGCCCAGAUGGGAUUAGCUAGUAGGUGGGGUAACGGCUCACCUAGGCGACGAUCCCUAGCUGGUCUGAGAGGAUGACCAGCCACACUGGAACUGAGACACGGUCCAGACUCCUACGGGAGGCAGCAGCGGGGAAUAUUGCACAAUGGGCGCAAGCCUGAUGCAGCUAUGCCGCGUGUAUGAAGAAGGCCUUCGGGUUGUAAAGUACUUUCAGCGGGGAGGAAGGGAGUAAAGUUAAUACCUUUGCUCAUUGACGUUACCCGCAGAAGAAGCACCGGCUAACUCCGU